ensembl:lncRNA
CAUCCCCCGUCCGGUCAAUUUGCUGUUCUCAUCUGGGCGCUCGAAGCGACCGGCGUCACGGCCGCACGCGACACUACGGACAGCAAGGAGCGGCCACACAGGACCCCUUGGGCGGGGCUGACCUUCUACCAGGACGUAGCGCCGGCCGCGUGGCUAACAGUCACACUGACCGGUGGGGAUUUACGCUUAGGUUUUAUUUUUAGUGAACUCGCCCAGACCGAGACAAAUUGACCGCGGCGUUGAAACGCUGGCAGGGAAAGGUCGAUGGCUCUGCCGCCCGUAUAUCACAGCAACGCGUUGUGCUGUGAUUUGAUGGGGGGCCGAUUCAUCCCAGACACUGUGGUGGUGCCAACGCUGAUUACAAAUGAACUGGACCACAGAAGGUUUCAAUCAGUACCAGGAGCCAGAUGUGGGCAUCAGGACACUGGCCAAAGAGGAGGAGAGAGUGGAGGAGGAGGCGGAGGAUUGGACAGUGGUAAGACACGCCAGGAACGCCAAAACCAAGACGAGUUAGAACGAAGGACCUGCCCGCGGGGCUGCAGGACGCAGAAAGCCUCGGUCAACCUGCCCAGAGACUGGAACGGAUCUGCUGUUUCCACUCCCACGCGUCUGAAGCCUGCGACAGGGGGCUAACAACCACAGCUGGCCAGCGACCCACCUUUAGUCACAUCUGCAGAAUCC